rnacentral:lncRNA from 10 species
GGGCACAUUUCAUCCAUAAGACACUGCACAGCACCUGGUCAGACGGCAUUCCAGGCACACAGCCUAGCCCUGGUGCAAUUCUUGUUUUCCAGCAGAGCUAGGCAGCCUCUUUGGUCCUGAACAAUACUGAUUGCCACAUUCAUCCUCUAACAGUUGCCAAAAAGCAAAAGAGGAAGGGGGAAAGGAGAGGAGAGAGGAAACAUUGCAGAAGAAGGUAAAAAAGCAUCCACUACUCCAUAUUCUGGGGACAAAGCAGAGAACAAGACACAGC